rnacentral:rRNA from 1 species
UACGUAGGGUGCAAGCGUUGUUCGGAAUUACUGGGCGUAAAGGGAGCGUAGGCGGGUUCAUAAGUUAGGAGUUUAAUGCGUGGGCUUAACCCACGAUCUGCUCUUAAUACUGUGGAUCUUGAGUAUGGGAGAGGGUGAUGGAAUUCCAGGUGUAGCGGUGGAAUGCGUAGAUAUCUGGAAGAACACCAGUAGCGAAGGCGGUCGCCUGGCCCAAUACUGACGCUGAGUCUCGAAAGCUAGGGGAG